UACGGAGGGUGCAAGCGUUGUUCGGAUUUACUGGGCGUAAAGCGCGCGCAGGUGGGUGUGCAAGUCGGAAGUGAAAUCUCGAGGCUCAACCUCGAGGCUGCUCCCGAAACUGCUCGCCUAGGGACUGGUAGAGGCUGGUAGAAUUCCCGGUGUAGCGGUGGAAUGCGUAGAGAUCGGGAAGAAUACCUGUGGCGAAGGCGGCCAGCUGGGCCAGAUCCGACACUGAGGCGCGAAGCGUGGGGAGCAACAGG
rnacentral:rRNA from 1 species